UCCGCGUUGGUCCAGUGGUUAGGAUUCCGGUCUCUCACACCGGCGGCCGGGGUUCGAUUCCCCGACGCGGAG